rnacentral:rRNA from 1 species
GAUGAACGCUGGCGGCGUGCCUAAUACAUGCAAGUAGAACGCUGAAGGAGGACUUUGCUCUUCUGGAUGAGUUGCGAACGGGUGAGUAACGCGUAGGUAACCUGCCCGGUACUGGGGGAUAACUAUUGGAAACGAUAGCUAAUACCGCAUGACAACAGUUAUUGCAUGAUAACUGUUUAAAAGGGGCAACUGCUCCACUACCAGAUGGACCUGCGUUGUAUUAGCUAGUUGGAGAGGUAACGGCUCACCAAGGCGACGAUACAUAGCCGACCUGAGAGGGUGAGCGGCCACACUGGGAGGGAGACACGGCCCAGACUCCUACGGGAGGCAGCAGGAGGGAAUCUUCAGCAAUGGACGGAAGUCUGACCGAGCAACGCCGCGUGAGUGAAGAAGGUUGUCGGGUCGUGAAGGUCUGUUGUAAGAGAGGAACGAGUGUGCGAGUGGAAAGUUCAGACUGUGACGGUAUCUGACCAGAAAGGGACGGCUAACUACGUG